rnacentral:rRNA from 1 species
UACGUAGGGUGCAAGCGUUGCCCGGAUUUAUUGGGCGUAAAGGGCGCGCAGGCGGCUACGCACGUCCGUUGUGAAAUCGCUCGGCUCAACUGGGCGGGGUCGGCGGAUACGGCGUAGCUGGAGCAAGCUAGGGGGCAAUGGAAUUCCCGGUGUAGUGGUGGAAUGCGUAGAUAUCGGGAGGAACACCAGUGGCGAAGGCGGUUGCCUGGAGCUUUGCUGACGCUGAGGCGCGAAAGCGUGGGUAGCAAACAGG